AUAUGCACGAUAGAAAGCGAAGCCACGCGUCGUUUGGUGUGGGGCAUUUGCAGCCGCGUGUUACGAGCCGCCCCACGCACCGUCCCAAAUCUGCCACCGUAUCGUCUAAACCUUAGCUUGGUGGAAACCAAAUCAAAUUAAAACACAGCUAGCUAGCUAGCUUGCUAGCAAAGGCAAGAAAAUUGCGAAUGAAAAUGGUGAGUAAGAGAGCAGGUGGAUGUGGAUCCCCCAAGAAGACGACGAUGAGCUUGGUGGCUGAACGCCGCCCCCUAAUGAAGAAGAAGAACAAGAAGACACAACUACAGUAUUUCAAGAAAGUGUUUGAUUAUCUCUUCUCCGAUGACUACAUGUUUGCACCCUUGCUUUCAUCUCAUUUCUCCUCUCCUAAUACUUCUUCCAUUGCAGGAAUUGAGGAAUCAUCAGCAAAGGUACAUGGCGAUAAGGAUUUUGUGGAUAAAGUUGGAGAUUAUUUGAAGUGUGAUUGUUACUUGUAUUCUCCAUUGGUUAUUACCCAACCUUGGCUCAUCAGUUCUAGUGCUCAUGCUCUUGCUAGUCAAAGAGCAGGCUUGCAUUGCCUCCCUGCAAAGAAAGACAUCAGAAGCAACUCUGAUGUGGAGGAUUUGUUGAAAGAAUUAGCUGAUAAAACAGAUAAGCCUGCAGUUGAAAAGACUGCAAUUAGUGUUAGCAAGGAGCAGAUCAAUUUGAAGGGUCUUCACGAUAGAAGCACCAUUAUCAAACGUAGCCGGGUGCGCCGAGAAACUGUGAAGCACAUCAUAGAUGAUCUUCCAGAACUGCCUCCUAUGCCCAUCACAGGUUGAAUCCCCAAUCCUAAGUGCUUUCACACCCCGACCCCAUAGAGUAUGUGGGAAGAGGUAAAGAGCUCAUCAAGAAAGGUAUGGUUGAAGCAUGAAGAUUGAUAUGUGUAGCAAUAAUGGAAGCUUAGGUUGCUGCAGGUUAUAGUUGUGUAAAUUAGUUUCUGUAUGUUAAGGGAGAAGAUCAUAUCCACAGUACAAAAAUAGCAACGCAGUGUUAGAAAUAUAUGUUAGUGGCCGCCGAAAUGCUUGUGUUUGUGUAUAUGCCAAUCACAAAAAUUCAACAGAUAUAUAUAUAUAUAGAUAGAUUACUUCAAUU